UAUCAUUUUUUAACUUAUGUCUAUUAAUAUAUUUCUAUGUUAGUAGGACUUUAUUUAUUUUUAAUAGUAUAAAAUAUAAAAAGAACCAUCUAUUAUUUUUAGUAAAUUAUGGUGAAUGAAAAUUGAUUUUAAUGUGAUAGUUUAUGAGUACUGUGAAGGAAAUAUUAGUGUACAGUAGUUUAAGUUGUAAAAUAGUAAAAAUGAAAUUUUGUACCUUUUGUAUCAUGGUUCUUUUAAUUUAUAUGUCCUGAUGGAUUUAUCCCGAAAAAAGCUGAGCUAUUAUUUGACAUUUAAAAGUUACGUUAACGUGGAAAAGUUAUGUAUAGAUCAAAUAAUAGGGGUAAAAUGUUUUUCGAAGCUUUUGAUUGCUGGUUAAUUAAUAAAUGUAUCAAAGUACAGAUAAGUGUUGUUAUUUUUGGUUACCACGGUUGUGAAAACAGCCGAGAAUUCUAAACACUUAGUUGAUUUAAGGAAGGAUAAGCUUCUUUAAAUACUUAAGAGAUUUAAUAAAAAUAGGCAAAAACUGUGGGCUUAAAAUUGGCCAUCUAUUCAGGAAGUUUGUUAUAAAUUACUUUAUUUGAUGUAAUUUUUAAGAUUCUUAUUGAUCUCUAUUUAUGAGGGUGUAAUUUGUGUUCACUUUAGGAUAUUAUUAAUUUUAUUAGCUUAAUUUGAUUUGCUAAUUUAUUUCUGAUGAAAUGAGUAUUUAUAGAGUAAGUUAACAAACGUAUAUUUAGGCAUUGAGGUAUUCAAUAAAAGUUUAAGUCAAUGCAUGAUGUAAAUUAAUUCAAAAUUUUUAGAUGACGAUUUAACUUAAUUUAAAAAUUAGAUAAAGGAAUUCGGCAAAAAUUAGUUUCGCCUGUUUAUCAAAAACAUCGUUCUCUGAAAAUAUAUAAGUAUCUUAGAUUUUAUAUAGAGAAUCGGACCUGCCCAGUGACUAGAAUGUUAAACGGCCGCGGUACUCUGACCGUGCAAAGGUAGCAUAAUCAUUUGCCUUUUAAUUGAAGGCUUGUAUGAAUGGUUUGACGAAAACUAAGCUGUCUCUUUCUAAUUUUUAAAAAAUUAAUUUUCAAGUGAAGAAGCUUGUAUUUAACUGAGGGACAAGAAGACCCCGUUGAGCUUUAGUAAUCCAGCAAAAUUAUAGGAUUAAGUGCUUUAAGUGAUUAACAAUUGCAUUAGUUUAUGUAAGUAGUUUUUAUUGGAAAUCUUUAGUUGGGGCGACUGAGGAACAAAUUAAGCUUCCUUUCAUAUUUUUUAUAAUGAAAUACGUUUUAAAUUAGUUUGAUCCAGUAAUAUACUGAUUAAAGGAAAAAGUUACCACGGGGAUAACAGCGUAAUCUUUCUAGCGAGUUCUUAUCGAAGGAAGGGUUUGCGACCUCGAUGUUGGACUAAGAUAUCCCAUAGGUGCAGAAGCUUAUAAUGGUUAGUCUGUUCGACUAUUAAAAUCUUACAUGAUCUGAGUUCAGACCGGCGUGAGCCAGGUCGGUUUCUAUCUUCAGUUAAUUUAAAUAUAUUUUUGGCUAGUACGAAAGGACCGUUAUUAAAAUAAAUGUUUUAUUGUUUUGAAGUGAUCUAAGGUUUAUUUAAAUAUUAAAAUUAAUUUAUUAAAUGAAUAAAGAAAUA
rnacentral:rRNA from 1 species